rnacentral:lncRNA from 1 species
GUUGUUAUAUAAAACCUGCAUAGUCCUUAACAGGACAAUUGCUACUCUCAUCAAAAACAUUAGAUUCACUUCAUCGCGUUUUAAGAAACGUCAUUAUAACUUUUACUUUUUUACUUUUUUACUACGUUUUCUUUUACUAGACAACCAAUGAGAUUAGUAAAAACUGUUGUCGAUUACAUGCAGUCAUGUACUACAGCCUUAUAUAUGUUUUUGUAUUUUAUAAACUAGUCGACAUAAUUUAAUUCCAAAGGAAAAGUAACGCAAGACGCUAAAACUUAUCAAUUCGUGUUUCAUCAUUUCAAAGUGUUUAUCUGAUCUGUGACUACAAUAUUGGGCAAAUUUACAAAUGCAAAAAAGCACAAAAAACAUUUGAUUGGAAUGACCUCAACAGUUAAAAGCUUUCAACGUUACAAUCCGAAGUCACUGCAGACGAAAGACUUUUUCGAUUUUAAGGAAGUAUUUAAGUGCAACGCAUUUAAUCAAAGUCGAUACAGAAUAUUUUACAACGAGCUGAAGGAAUGCGUUAGAAGGGUGGAAACCAGUAAAUGCAUUAAAAAACUUGAAAACGUGCGGAAAAUACACUUUCUGCAGGAGUUAGAAACAAUACUUUUUAAAUAAAAAAUAAUAGCGAAGAAAGAAGCAAAUAAGAAAAAAUCACAAACUGAGGUUGCAAGUUACUGUUCUGCAAAGCGGGAUUUGCAUGAUCGGUUGAAAAUGAUGAAGUGGUCGCCCAGCUCAGAACUCGUUUGCAACAAAAACGUUUUAUUUUUGCUUUCGCAAAUUUUCAAGGAAUUUUUCAGCUAACAUAGCUGAUUUGGGUCUUCCUAAGCGUUUGUAAUUUCUUUUCCUGUGUCGACAAUAAAUGCAGACGAGGAGCGCCUGAAACCAUGGUCUGUGAAGACAUUAUUUCGCAAUUGCUAAUCUCUGGGCCCUGAGGAGUACCAUUUUAUUUUAUUUUUAUAUAUUUAAUUUCAGAAUAGCUAUGUGGAGUGAUUGGAGGUUGAAAGUUCGCAAUUUUCCGCACAAUGGAAAUACAUUUCCUGUUUACUUCUUGUGAUAUUGCAAACGAGCUUGCAGGAAGUUUUUGUCUCUGUUGUUUUAAAUAUUAUUACGUUUCUUUUGUCAUCAAUUUAAUUAACAGUUAUUUGAAUGAGUUUGCACCACCACAAGACCCGGCCACAGCAAACAUUGUAUGUUUCAUAUGGCUACUAUAAAUUUCUUUCAAAAAGUCUUCUGCAAUUUUUUUCGCCAAGAUUCAACCGCUCUUUUCUUAAAAGGGCCGCCACUCUAAAAAAAUUCCUUAUGUCAAUAGUUUGCUUUAUUUCCAGUAAACUUUUCAUUAUUUUAUCAUCGAAUAACGUGGCCAAAGAGUAUUGGCUUUAAGAGGUUUUCUGAGGUCGGAAAAUUAGGUUAAAAAUAUUUAUGCUGUGAAAGUUUUUGUUCAAUUGUUGUACACCAGCUUAUGAAAUGUAGGUACAUUCGAUUUUCAUACGUAGAUUUUGGUUUAAAAGUUAAAAAAACCCUAUCUUGCGACGUAGCUAUCCAGCGACUUGUAAUAUUGAAUUUGGCAGGUUCUUCACGAAAGAAUUUUUGAGAUACAGAUUUUUAAGCUUUGAGAGAGCCUUAAAAAGCCCCCAAAACAUAUUCCUGUCCUAAAAAAAAGCUGUCCAGACCCUCUAACCACCAAAAAUUAUUUUAUAAAUGAAAAGAAAGUAUUCAGUUAAUUAUAAUUGUUUUUGAAAUUUUAAACCUUAAACUUUAACGGCCUCCUAAAUUUUUUUGUUCUUUCUUCUAAAUUCUUAUGUUAAUCAUUUCUAGUGAAGCCUGAUUAUAAAAUAACAUAACUCGAUACGCCAUAUUUAACAAAAAUCCAAUAUACGAAUUACAAUGUUAAAUAAUUAAACGAUUUUUCAUUUUUAUGUUGGUUCUUUUGCAGGUACGUUUUUGGCUCCAACACUUAUCAGAAAAAUAUAUGUCCGGAAACUCUUUUCGAUAGCUUUUGAGAAAUUCAUACCCUGACUUAAAGUUCCCGUUUAUUUUUAGUUUUUGAACACUUUUCUUAAGAAUCUAACGAUUUCUAAUGAAUCCUAAUUAGUGGAAGUCCUCUAGACGGACUUUCAAAUUAUUGAUGAUUUCAACGGUUCCUAUUUUAAACCUCAAAAGUCGGCUAAAUUUAGACAUGUUUCUUCUAUAUCUUGACGAUCUGGAAUUUCUGCUAUUACUUAAUUGACAAAAAAUAGCUCUUAAGACGUCGUUAAAAUUAUAGCAACUAAUGAUAUUUUUUCAAGCACCUGAGAAAUAUGAGAUUUUUAAACUACAAGGGCUUGUAGAAGCCUUAUCAUAAAUUAUACCUUAUACCGAGUUUCAGUUUUAAUAUUGAAAGACUAAUGAAAAUUCUAUUGUUUUGGUGGUAGCGUUAUUAAGAGGCAACAGUUCAUAUGGUUUUUUACACUAGUUUUCGAGACUUUCGGAUUUUAUUGCAUUUAUUUUAAGUGAAAUACUAAUUGAACCCAAAUUCUUCAUUGUUCGCCUGGUCAAAUGUGUUGAAUUCAAAUUAAACUACCAAACUCAAAUGAUCCUGCGUCGAAUUUUAUGUUGAGGAACUAAAGCUUAAAAUGAUUAAAUGUAAUCUACUUCCAGCUAUCCAGUUCUUGUCGUUUGGUUUAACCCAGGAGCACAUCUGAAAAAACAGUGUCUAAUUAGCGAUUU